UACGUAGGGGGCUAGCGUUGUCCGGAAUCAUUGGGCGUAAAGAGCGUGUAGGCGGUCCGGUAAGUCCGUUGUGAAAGUCAGGGGCUCAACCCUUGAAUGCCGGCGGAUACUGUCGGGCUAGAGUCCGGAAGAGGCGAGUGGAAUUCCCGGUGUAGCGGUGAAAUGCGCAGAUAUCGGGAGGAACACCUAUGGCGAAGGCAGCUCGCUGGGACGGUACUGACGAUGAGACGCGAAAGCGUGGGGAGCGAACAGG
rnacentral:rRNA from 1 species